UAUUGAGAAGAUGCCGAUUCUAUGUCAU
rnacentral:piRNA from 1 species